GCCAAUCACUAGAUCUGUUCAUAACACUAGUAUUACUAAUCGAGAAGACGGAUUUCAAAUUGACAUAUCCUUUGCACAAACGUGAAUGACAACGAUGAUAAUGUCACCACCAAACAAUCGGACAUUCCCGAUUUUUGCCUCUCGCUGACAGCAUCCAAAAUAUGCAAUAAGGUAAUUAUUUCAGAUGUCAUGGGUGCAAAGCUUUUGUUCGCAAACUUCAUAGCAGGGCAGAUCACUUCUUUUCUGGUUGCAAUGCAGAUUGUUCCACCAGACUCUGCAAGCCCAUGUUUACAGACAAGCAAGAUCGCCUUUGUAGUCGUACCUAAAUGCAUGUGCUUUCAUUUAAAUUUUGAUAUAUAGACCAGCCAUUGUUUAUAUAGUGUAAAAGGAUUUGAUAAUAUGUAUGUGACUUGUUGUUGGAGAGGAUUUUUUGCUGAAUAGAUGAUUUUAAUAAAAUAUUUAUGGAUAUCUUUCAAA